GUCCUUUAACUUUGUCUCCGUUACCAAUCUUCAGUUAGGCUUUUGCUGUCUUCCCAUUUUUAUUUCUCAAAUCUCUCUUUUGUUCUCCAAAUUAUCGAACUCCCCCUUGUUAAAAUUCAAAGCACAAUCUGAGCAAAAGAGAGAAUUGAGGAAGAUUGGGGUCGAAAUGGUGGGUUUUUUAUAUGGGUUUUGAGGAAGUUGAGGGGUUUGGGUGAGGAGUUGAUGGGGUUUGGGUGCGCUUGGAAGUGUUGGGUUUGGGAUUGGAGAGAGCACUGGUUUUGGGUUCUUAGGGGUUUGCUUUUGUUUUCCAUAACGAUUAGAAGUUGUUCUCAAAAGCAAAUCUGGUGCCAAACAAAAGAAGAAGCAAUGGGAGCCUCCAGUCGACCAAGGCUUUCUGGGAUGCAGAAACAAGUUCUUAGUCUAUACAGAGGGUUUCUGAGGGCAGAUCGUGACAAAUCUGCUGAAGAUCGACAACAGAUUGAGUCACUGUUGUCAAGUGAGUUCCGCCGCAAAUUGAAAUAAUGAUAAUGAUAGCUUAUUGGACUUUGUUGAUGGUUUCAAGUCCUGUGUUAUGUGUUGCUUAUUGUUCGUUAGACGAUAAAUAAAGACCAAUGAUUGAUUUGAGACUGAUGGUCAUAAAACAGAACAGCAACCCAAAUUCAUCCUCGACAA